rnacentral:rRNA from 1 species
CCUACGGGGGGCAGCAGUGGGGAAUAUUGGACAAUGGGGGGAACCCUGAUCCAGCCAUGCCGCGUGUGUGAAGAAGGCCCUCGGGUUGUAAAGCACUUUCAGUGAGGAAGAACGCCUGGUGGUUAAUACCCAUCAGGAAAGACAUCACUCACAGAAGAAGCACCGGCUAACUCCGUGCCAGCAGCCGCGGUAAUACGGAGGGUGCGGGCGUUAAUCGGAAUUACUGGGCGUAAAGCGCGCGUAGGUGGCUUGAUAAGCCGGUUGUGAAAGCCCCGGGCUCAACCUGGGAACGGCAUCCGGAACUGUCAAGCUAGAGUGCAGGAGAGGAAGGUAGAAUUCCCGGUGUAGCGGUGAAAUGCGUAGAGAUCGGGAGGAAUACCAGUGGCGAAGGCGGCCUUCUGGACUGACACUGACACUGAGGUGCGAAAGUGUGGGUAGCAAACAGGAUUAGAUACCCUGGUAGUC